rnacentral:sRNA from 1 species
UGCACGGCUUGGGGUUCCCCCCGCACGGA